GCACCCAUAGCUCAACAGGUAGAGCAGGGGCCUCUUAAGCCCAAGGUUGCAGGUUCAAUUCCUGCUGGGUGCA
rnacentral:tRNA from 2 species